rnacentral:rRNA from 1 species
GCAAGUCGAACGAUGAAGCCUUUCGGGGUGGAUUAGUGGCGAACGGGUGAGUAACACGUGGGCAAUCUGCCCUUCACUCUGGGACAAGCCCUGGAAACGGGGUCUAAUACCGGAUAACACUCUGUCCUGCAUGGGACGGGGUUAAAAGCUCCGGCGGUGAAGGAUGAGCCCGCGGCCUAUCAGCUUGUUGGUGGGGUAAUGGCCUACCAAGGCGACGACGGGUAGCCGGCCUGAGAGGGCGACCGGCCACACUGGGACUGAGACACGGCCCAGACUCCUACGGGAGGCAGCAGUGGGGAAUAUUGCACAAUGGGCGAAAGCCUGAUGCAGCGACGCCGCGUGAGGGAUGACGGCCUUCGGGUUGUAAACCUCUUUCAGCAGGGAAGAAGCGAAAGUGACGGUACCUGCAGAAGAAGCGCCGGCUAACUACGUGCCAGCAGCCGCGGUAAUACGUAGGGCGCAAGCGUUGUCCGGAAUUAUUGGGCGUAAAGAGCUCGUAGGCGGCUUGUCACGUCGGAUGUGAAAGCCCGGGGCUUAACCCCGGGUCUGCAUUCGAUACGGGCUAGCUAGAGUGUGGUAGGGGAGAUCGGAAUUCCUGGUGUAGCGGUGAAAUGCGCAGAUAUCAGGAGGAACACCGGUGGCGAAGGCGGAUCUCUGGGCCAUUACUGACGCUGAGGAGCGAAAGCGUGGGGAGCGAACAGGAUUAGAUACCCUGGUAGUGCACGCC